rnacentral:piRNA from 1 species
UUACUCAACUCAAAGAGUAUGCGGAUAC